rnacentral:rRNA from 1 species
UAGGGAAUAUUGCGCAAUGGGCGAAAGCCUGACGCAGCGACGCCGCGUGAGUGAUGAAGGCCUUCGGGUCGUAAAGCUCUGUUGUACGGGAAGAAGUUUGCAGAGCUAAUACCAAUGCAAAUUGACGGUACCGUAUAAGAAAGGACCGGCUAACUUCGUGCCAGCAGCCGCGGUAAGACGAGGGGUCCUAGCGUUGUUCGGAAUCACUGGGCGUAAAGCGUUUGUAGGCGGCUCUAUAAGUCGGGUGUGAAAUCCCAUGGCUCAACCAUGGAAGUGCAUUCGAAACUGCAGAGCUUGAAUAUGGAAGAGGAGAGUAGAAUUCCUGGUGUAGUGGUGAAAUACGUAGAUAUCAGCAGGAAUACCGGUGGCGAAGGCGGCUCUCUGGACCAAUAUUGACGCUGAGAAACGAAAGUGCGGGGAUCAAACAGGAUUAGAUACCCCCGUAGUCC